CUGGUUUAUCCCAACACUGGGAGAUUGUUCCCAGUUGGAUAUCUCAAGUGUUGUGAAUGCCUGCUAAACUGAAGAGCUUCACAUCUGUUAUUUGAGGCCAGCCCUUGAGCAGCAAGAGCUACUGAUGGAACAGAAACCUGGCUGCCGAGACAUGUGCCCACCCUAGGGCUGCUCUGUGGACCCAAGGCCCAGCCCAAUAUGAAGGACAAUGAGCUUAGUGCCCAGGCCCCUGGGGACCAGCGCCUGCAGAAGGAGAACAGGCAUGCCAGGCAAGAACUGUGUCUUGUCCCUGUCCUGGCAUUCUCUUCAUAACCA
rnacentral:lncRNA from 1 species